AAGCAAGCAGUCAUGUGGACCUCAUCACCCUCUUCCUAUUCUCAACCCUUUGAGCUUAUUACAAUUCUCAACCACAAAAGUUCUCCCUCCUAACAUGUUUGAUUUUUAAGCUAACCAAUCUCCAACAACAAUCUCACUCAGCUGUUCGGAGGUGUGGUUCCAAACAGGAAUACAUAGGAUAUGGAUGGCUCAGCCUCAAAGCCUUGUAGCACAACAAGAGGAAUUGGUUUGGUUAAAGCCGCUGUUAACUUAUAUCGUAACAGGAAUAUUGCAGAUGUUAAUAGUCCUUCGCUGAAAAAGAAUUUCUCAACGAAGCACUCUUCAAAAGCAAAACAACUCCACAAACGAAGCAAUGAUAUUGUUCGGUACAAAGAGACCAAAUGGGCAGUAGAAUGUGCAAAAGCUCAAGCAGAAGCUGAGGUUUCCAAUGCUAAACAGACAGUGAAAUAUCUUUUCUCUAUGAUUGGGGAAUCUAUGUACAAGGCAAAAGCCGAAAUGUGAGACAUGGCACCACUAAAGAAGUAUGUGAAACCGAGCAACGAUGAUAAUCAGUAUUCACAAGUUAUGACAGAAUUGGAACAUGCUAAGUGGGAAUUGUUCCAACUUAAGCUUCAUGUGGGUUCUGUUUUGCAGGAGAAACUGCGAGUGGAGAACAAAAUCAAAGCAUCGAGAUCCAGCAUGUAGUCCUUCUCAAGAGUAGCACAAAAACUGAGGAAGGAGAUUGAGGAAGCCAGUGAAGAACAAUUGGUGGUUCAAUUGGCCAGAAUGGAUGCUUUCAAUGAACUUAGAGACAUUGAACAAGUUGAAAACACAAGGAACAAAUUGAAAGAGGCCAUUCAAGCGAUAGAUGAUACAAAAGAGCUCGAAAUGAAAUUGGCCACGACAUUGUCUGAUAUUGAUAUGUUGAAGAAUGAGUUCAAGUUUGUUAACAAAACGGGGAAAAGGUUACUUCAAAGAGGUGGUCAAAGCAUUGAGCAUAUAGAAGAACAUUAAUCAAGACAUGUUGGUGUGUUAGAGCCUACAAAAGAAGAAAUAGAGGCAGCAAAGAAAGACUUGGCUUCCAUUACAGAACAAGGUUUUAAGUUUAUGGCCUCUAUGGAUGUCACAAGAAAUCAACUGAAGUAUGUGAGUGCAACCACGAUUCAUUUAAAGAACACGAAAUCGAAAAUUGGUGCAAAAGUUUGAAACCUCAGUUACAAGCUCUUGAGAGCAAAAUCUAAAUUUGAAGUCGUGUCUGCUGUAGAGGAAAAGGCCAAAUCAAUAGUGAGUAACUUGACACAAACUCUUGAUAAGCUCAAGUCCGAAAUAAAAGUAGCAAAAAAAGAAAAAGAUCUUAUAAUAAAUGGAGAGGUUGCAGAAACCAAAGAAGAGAUUAAAAAGGCCUUGUUGGAGAUAAAGGUGACUGAGAAAAGAUUUCAAGGUGUCGUGUAGGAGCUAGAAGUAGUGAAAUCGUCAAAAGCUUUAGCCUUGGAGAAGCUCAAGAUUCUUAGGGAGAAUGCCAUGAAAGACAAAAUUAGUAAUGUAACAAAGCCUAGUUCGUUAAUUAUCAUAUCUAAGUUUGAAUAUGAAUAUUUGAGAAACCAUGCACGGAAGUCAAAUGAAAUUGCUGAGAAGGUAAAAUGAAUUAAAUUUUUCUCAUAAGCAUAAACUAAGCUUAUCCAUAAGCAUAAGUUUAAAUCAGCUUUUAGAUAAUCUAAAUGACACUCUGAGAGGGUUUAGACAAAUUAGUUUAUUCUUGUUUUAACUUGUGAGACUAGUUUAUUUUAUUUUUCUUUUUAUUUAAUUAUGUAACAAGUACUAUUUAUUGAGAAAUUUAUCUAAACAACACAAGAAAAUCUUUGAGGUAAUUGUGAUGAUGGUAUGCUCCCACUUACAGAACAAAUUAAGGGAAUAACUUGUUUUUGACACUCUAAGGGGUGACUGGAUGGUGGCCUUUGGCAUUUGGGAAUUUGACCCUCUAAAGCUAAGUAAUCCAUUCCAU